rfam:TPA: Bos taurus chromosome 4, whole genome shotgun sequence.
UCCCUGGUGGCUCAGACGGUAAAAGCGUCUGCUUACAAUGCGGAAGACCCAGGUUCAAUCCCUGUGCUGGGAA